rnacentral:rRNA from 1 species
CAAUAGCGUAUAUUAAAGUUGUUGCGGUUAAAAAGCUCGUAGUUGGAUUUCUGCCGAGGACGACCGGUCCGCCCUCCGGGUGAGCAUCUGGCUCGGCCUAGGCAUCUUCUUGGGGAGCGUAUCUGCACUUCAUUGUGUGGUGCGGUAUCCAAGACUUUUACUUUGAGGAAAUUAGAGUGUUUCAAGCAGGCCCACGCCUUGAAUACAUUAGCAUGGAAUAAUAAGGUAGGACCUCGGUUCUAUUUUGUUGGUUUCUAGAAUUGAGGUAAUGAUUAAUAGGGAUAGUUGGGGGCAUUCGUAUUUAACUGUCAGAGGUGAAAUUCUUGGAUUAGUUAAAGACGGACUACUGCGAAAGCAUUUGCCAAGGAUGUUUUCAUUGA